rnacentral:rRNA from 1 species
AGCUCCAAUAGCGUAUAUUAAAGUUGUUGCAGUUAAAAAGCUCGUAGUUGGAUCUCGGGUCCAGGCCUGCGGUGCGCUUCGCGGCGUCUACUGCUCGUCCUGACCUACCAUCCGGUUUUCCCUUGGUGCUCUUGACUGAGUGUCUCGGGUGGCCGGAACGUUUACUUUGAAAAAAUUAGAGUGUUCAAAGCAGGCAAUUUGCCUGAAUAAUGGUGCAUGGAAUAAUGGAAUAGGACCUCGGUUCUAUUUUGUUGGUUUUCGGAACUUGAGGUAAUGAUUAAGAGGGACGGACGGGGGCAUUCGUAUUACGGUGUUAGAGGUGAAAUUCUUGGAUCGCCGUAAGACGAACAACUGCGAAAGCAUUUGCCAAGAAUGUUUUCA